rnacentral:rRNA from 1 species
UACAGGGGGGGUAAGCGUUGUUCGGAAUUACUGGGCGUAAAGGGCUCGUAGGCGGCCAACUAAGUCAGACGUGAAAUCCCUCAGCUUAACUGGGGAACUGCGUCUGAUACUGGAUGGCUUGGAUUCGGGAGAGGAAUGCGGAAUUCCAGGUGUAGCGGUGAAAUGCGUAGAUAUCUGGAGGAACACCGGUGGCGAAGGCGGCAUUCUGGACCGAUAUUGACGCUGAGGAGCGAAAGCCAGGGGAGCAAACGGG